UGGGGAAUAUUGCACAAUGGGCGCAAGCCUGAUGCAGCCAUGCCGCGUGUAUGAAGAAGGCCUUCGGGUUGUAAAGCACUUUCAGCGGGGAGGAAGGCGGUGAGGUUAAUAACCUCAUCGAUUGACGUUACCCGCAGAAGAAGCACCGGCUAACUCCGUGCCAGCAGCCGCGGUAAUACGGAGGGUGCAAGCGUUAAUCGGAAUUACUGGGCGUAAAGCGCACGCAGGCGGUCUGUCAAGUCGGAUGUGAAAUCCCCGGGCUCAACCUGGGAACUGCAUUCGAAACUGGCAGGCUAGAGUCUUGUAGAGUGGGGUAGAAUUCCAGGUGUCGCGGUGAAAUGCGUAGAGAUCUGUAGGAAUACCGGUGGCGAAGGCGACCCCCUGGACAAAGACUGACGCUAAGGUGCGAAAGCGUGGGGAGCAAACGGG
rnacentral:rRNA from 1 species